CUGCAAGCCUCCAGCGUGCCUGAGUCUGGGGUGACCCUGCGCAUUCCCACAGCGCUUGCUAGAACAAAAUGGAACGGUUUGAGGCCUUGCCCUGCUUCCUCCAGGGCAAGGUUAUAGAAAUUUUAGACAAUU